UUGAACUCAGAAUCGCAAAAUCGUGCUUUCAAUUCCUAGACCGGGUGGUGCGUUGUGUUCUUGAGCAAAACACUUCAUCUCACGUUGCUCUGCAAUCAUUUCGACACCUGAUGCAUGUUACACCGUGCACUGUUCAGACAACGUUGAUUUGAUUAAGAGAGUGAGUUAAUGUGCGACGCGAACAUUUGAUCAUUAUAAACAAAUCAUUUGUGCCG